UCCCGGCCUAUCAGCUUGUUGGUGGGGUAGUGGCUUACCAAGGCUUUGACGGGUAGCCGGCCUGACAGGGUGACCGGCCACAUUGGGACUGAGAUACGGCCCAUACUCCUACCGGAGGGCUCCCUGGGGAAUAUUGCCCAAUGGGCGGAAGCCUGAUGCAGCAACGCCGCGUGCGGGAUGACGGCCUUCGGGUUGUAAACCGCUUUCCCCUGUGACGAAACGUGAGUGACCGUCAUGGGUAAAGAAGCACCGGCUAACUACAUGCCAGCUCCCGCGGUGAUACCUAGGGUGCGAGCGUUGUCCGGAUUUAUUGGGCGUAAAGGGCUCGUACGUGGUUGAUCGCAUCAGAAGUGUAAUCUUGGGGCUUAACCCUGAGCGUGCUUUCAAUACGGGUUGACUUGAUGAAGGUAGGGGAGAAUGGAAUUCCUGGUGGAGCGGUGGAAUGCUCACAUAUCAAGAGGAACACCCCAGGCGAAGGCGGUUCUCUGGGCCUUUCCUGACGCUGAGGAGCGAAAGCGUGGGGAGCGAACAGGCUUAAAUACCCUGGUAGUCCACGCUGUAAACGGUGCGUACUACGUGUGGGGUCCAUUCCACGGCUUCCGUGCCGUAACUCACGCUUUCAGUACCCCGCCUGGGGAGUACGG
rnacentral:rRNA from 1 species